CUCGGCUAUAUCUGAUAAUCAUACAACCAAUAAUAAUGUAUGGUUUACAUUUUUGGACUUUGCGAAGGACUGAGGAGGAUAGAUUACAUAUUUUUGAGGGAAAGAUAUUGCACAAAAUAUACGGACAUAUUUAUGAUCAAGAUAUUCAAAGAUGGCGGAAAAGGCACAACGUAGAACUGAUUGAGAUUCUAAUAGACCAAGUAUUGUAAGCAAGAUCAAACGGAAAAAGUUGGAAUGGACAGGCCACUUAUGUAGUAAGCAAGAUCAAUGGUUCAAAGAGUUUUCCAAGAAAACCCAAAGAGCAAAAAAUUUUUACUGGGUAAACCAGGGCUACGCUGGAAGAAGGAAUUGGUAAAUGAUUUCCUAAAUGCUAGAAGAAUAAAUUAUGGAGACAUGUAUUGGAAGAAGGUAGCGGAAAAUAGAGAAGAAUGGGGAAGGAUUUGUUCUACAGCAAGAUUAAAUAAUACUUUAUUGUCAAUUUUAUACUACGUCUGUCGUAAUCUAGUCGGCUACUUACAUAUUUUAUCCUAGAAAUCACGAGUUCAAUAUUUCGAAAAAUAUUAAAUAUUAUUUGUAUUUGUUUUUUUCCCUUUACUUAAGUAAACAGGUAAAAAACAAAUUUUGGGUGUACCUAUCAGGGAGGCUGUUAUUUCAAUUUCCGAGGAGUUUUCUCAAUAAAUGGAAAACCCAGGAAAAACGUAGGAAAAAGGGAGAAGUAGGCACAAUAUUAUUUGACUAUUAUAUGAGAUAUAUAUUGUUAACGAAGCCUCCCCAUCAACUGAACUCCGCUCAUAUACGUUUUUAGUAAGCAAUGGUUUAUUGUGACUUACAGAUAAAAAUUAAUUUCCCCUCUUUACCCUAUCGUCC